rnacentral:other from 1 species
GUUUCAGAUGAACCCGUGUGGGGUCGAAGC